rnacentral:rRNA from 1 species
AGUACGAGAGGACCGGGAUGAACGUACCUCUGGUGGAGCUGUUGUCGCGCCAGCGGCAGUGCAGCAUAGCUACGUACGGACGGGAUAACCGCUGAAGGCAUCUAAGCGGGAAACCCCCCUUAAAACGAGACCUCCCUUGAGGGCCGUGGAAGACGACCACGUCGAUAGGCCGGGGGUGCAAGCGCGGCGACGCGUUGAGCCGACCGGUACUAAUCGCCCGAUUGACUUGAUCGCUCCCGUGAU